UACGGAGGGUGCAAGCGUUAUCCGGAUUCACUGGGUUUAAAGGGUGCGUAGGCGGACAGGUAAGUCCGUGGUGAAAUCCUGCAGCUUAACUGCAGAACUGCCAUGGAUACUAUCUAUCUUGAAUAUCGUGGAGGUUAGCGGAAUAUGUCAUGUAGCGGUGAAAUGCUUAGAUAUGACAUAGAACACCCAUUGCGAAGGCAGCUUACUAUGGUUUUUAUUGACGCUGAGGCACGAAAGCGUGGGGAUCAAACAGG
rnacentral:rRNA from 1 species